rnacentral:tRNA from 1 species
UAGGCCGAAGUCCGCUGGAUUGGAUGUUUAGUUGUUAAUUAAUAUUUUUACGGGAUCGAGGCCCGUCGGCUUAG